AUUGAACGCUGGCGGCAGGCCUAACACAUGCAAGUCGAGCGAGCGGCGGACGGGUGAGUAAUGUAUGGGGACUGCCCGAUAGAGGGGGAUAACUACUGGAAAAGGUAGCUAAUACCGCAUACUAUCGGAUAACCCAUAGGGGAUUAGCGAGUCGGUGAGGUAAUGGCUCACCUAGGCGACGAUACCUAGCUGGUCUGAGAGGAUGAUCAGCCACACUGGGACGGGGACACGGCCCAGACUCCUACGGAGGCAGCAGUGGGGAAUAUUGCACAAUGGGCGAAAUGCGGAUGGAGCAAUGCCGCGUGUAUGAAGAAGGCCCUAGGGUUGUAAAGUUCUUUCAGUCGGGAGGCGUUACCGACAGAAGAAGCACCGGCUAACUCCGGGCCAGCCGCCGCGGUAAUGC
rnacentral:rRNA from 1 species